rnacentral:tRNA from 1 species
GUCAGGAUGGCCGAGCGGUCUAAGGCGCCAGACUCAAGGAUGAUAUCCUUCCUAUCAUGAACCGGGAAUUCUGGUCUCCGAAUGGAGGCGUGGGUUCAAAUCCCACUCCUGACA